CCAAGGCGACGAUCAGUAGCCGGCCUGAGAGGGUGAACGGCCACAUUGGGACUGAGACACGGCCCAAACUCCUACGGGAGGCAGCAGUGGGGAAUAUUGCACAAUGGGGGAAACCCUGAUGCAGCAACGCCGCGUGAGUGAAGAAGUAUUUCGGUAUGUAAAGCUCUAUCAGCAGGAAAGAAAAUGACGGUACCUGACUAAGAAGCCCCGGCUAACUACGUGCCAGCAGCCGCGGUAAUACGUAGGGGGCAAGCGUUAUCCGGAUUUACUGGGUGUAAAGGGAGCGUAGACGGUUUUGCAAGUCUGAAGUGAAAGCCCGGGGCUUAACCCCGGGACUGCUUUGGAAACUGUAGGACUAGAGUGCAGGAGAGGUAAGUGGAAUUCCUAGUGUAGCGGUGAAAUGCGUAGAUAUUAGGAGGAACACCAGUGGCGAAGGCGGCUUACUGGACUGUAACUGACGUUGAGGCUCGAAAGCGUGGGGAGCAAACAGGAUUAGAUACCCUGGUAGUCCACGCCGUAAACGACGAAAGGGAGGUGUUGGUGGGUAUGACCCAUCGGUGCCGC
rnacentral:rRNA from 1 species